GACGAACGCUGGCGGCGUGCUUAACACAUGCAAGUCGUACGGUAAGGCCCUUUCGGGGGUACACGAGUGGCGAACGGGUGAGUAACACGUGAGUAACCUGCCCACAACUUUGGGAUAACGCUAGGAAACUGGUGCUAAUACUGGAUAUGUGCUCCUGCUGCAUGGUGGGGGUUGGAAAGCUCCGGCGGUUGUGGAUGGACUCGCGGCCUAUCAGCUUGUUGGUGGGGUAGUGGCCUGCCAAGGCGGCGACGGGUAGCCGGCCUGAGAGGGUGACCGGCCACAUUGGGACUGAGAUACGGCCCAGACUCCUACGGGAGGCAGCAGUGGGGAAUAUUGCACAAUGGGCGCAAGCCUGAUGCAGCAACGCCGCGUGCGGGAUGACGGCCUUCGGGUUGUAAACCGCUUUCAGCAGGGACGAAGCUUUUUGUGACGGUACCUGCAGAAGAAGCACCGGCUAACUACGUG
rnacentral:rRNA from 1 species